GAGAGCGAUCUCAGUGACCUCUAAACCUAGCGCCGCCAUGCCAGGCCGCCGCCUCUUCCAAGAUCCUGGUCCUCCCCACCACAGACUCGCUGUCGCAAGUCCACCCACCCACCGCCCUCCCUGCCUCCCCUCUCGCUCGCCAGCCUCCAGCAGUAGCCUCGGGGUCUCAGGGACGCCAGCUUCCAGGCGGCGCCCAGCCCCACUCCGGCCGCCUCUACCGACAGCUCCGGCACACGGUGCGCUGCGGCUGAAAGGGAAGAUGACGGAUGGCGGGGUCGGCACAGAACUGCACAUCCCCAACUCCUCCUACUGAGUACUGACUCACCCCCGCCCCCAAGUUUUGCACUCCUGGUCGACCACCACCAUUAAUGAGACAUGUGAGUGUGGGUGGUGCAGCGGCGUUGCCAACUUUGUGGGCGAAGGGAAAACAUGGAUAUGAAGGGGAAGGCCUAGCAAAGGCAAAGGGGAGAGUUCGCCCCACCUCAGAAAAAAUUCGUCCUCCGCCACUGAUCCUCAGGGAAAAAAUGUCCGCCCCGGUGAACUGCCACCCUCUCUGUCUCUGAGAACCCUUCGUCUUGCAACCAAAAUUCAUCCAUGCGUCGUCUGCCAUGUGAAGCUUGUUGCCAUCAGGUAGACUGACCUCGUGCCCGCCACUAUCGACCAG